rnacentral:rRNA from 1 species
GGCGAACGCUGGCGGCGUGCUCGACACAUGCAAGUCGAACGGGCUCGGUACCUUCGGGUACAGAGUCAGUGGCGAACGGGUGAGUAACACGUGGGAACGUGACCCUUUGUGGGGGAUAACUAUUCGAAAGGAUAGCUAAUACCGCAUGAGACCGAAAGGUGAAAGGUGCAAUAGCACCGCGAGGGGAGCGGCCUGCGUUCCAUCAGCUAGUUGGCAGGGUAAAAGCCUACCAAGGCGACGACGGAUAGCCGGCGUGAGAGCGUGGCCGGUCACAAGGAUACUGAGAUACGGAUCCUACUCCUACGGGAGGCAGCAGUGCGGAAUUUUGGUCAAUGGGCGAAAGCCUGAACCAGCGACGCCGCGUGAAGGAUGAAGGUUUUCGGAUCGUAAACUUCUGUGGUAAGGGAAAAAUGUCAUUGAGAGUGGAAAGCUCAAUGGAGAGAUGGUACCUUAUUAGAAAGCCCCGGCUAACUACGUGCCAGCAGCCGCGGUAAUACGUAGGGGGCAAGCGUUGCCCGGAAUUACUGGGCGUAAAGGGAGCGUAGGCGGCCCUUCAAGUCAACUGUGAAAAACUGGAGCUCAACUCCAGUCCUGCGGUUGAAACUGGAAGGCUUGAGGAUGGUAGAGGGAAACGGAACAGCUAGUGUAGGGGUAAAAUCCUUAGAUAUUAGCUGGAACGCCGGUGACGAAGGUGGUUUCCUGGGCCAGUUCUGACGCUGAGGCUCGAAAGCCAGGGGAUCAAACGGGGUUAGGUACCCCGGUAGUCCUGGCCCUAAACGAUGUUCACUAGGUGUGGGGUGUGUAUAGCAUUCCGUGCUAAAGCUAACGCGAUAAGUGAACCGCCUGGGGAGUACGUCCGCAAGGAUGAAACUCAAAGGAAUUGACGGGGGCCCGCACAAGCAGUGGAGCGUGUGGUUUAAUUCGAUGCUAAGCGAAGGACCUUACCAAGGUUUGACAUAAUGGUGGUAGUGAACCGAAAGGGGAACGACCAGUCUAUGACUGGAGCCAUUACAGGUGGUGCACGGCCGUCGUCAGCUCGUGCCGUGAGGUGUUGGGUUAAGUCCCGCAACGAGCGCAACCCCUGUACUUAGUUGCCAUCAGUUAGGCUGGGCACUCUAAGUAGACCGCCGCCGACGAGGCGGAGGAAGGGGGGGAUGACGUCAGGUGUCGUGCCCCUUAUAUCUUGGGCGACACACGCGCUACAAUGGGCCGGACAGAGAGGAGCAAUCCCGCGAGGAGGAGCAAAUCUUCAAACCGGUCCUCAGUUCGGAUUGCAGGCUGCAGCCCGCCUGCAUGAAGUCGGAAUUGCUAGUAAUCGCAGAUCAGCCGAGCUGCGGUGAAUACGUUCCCGGGCCUUGUACACACCGCCCGUCAAGCCACCCGGGUUGGUAACACCUGAAGAUGGGGAUCCUAACCGUAAGGAGGGAACCUGUUUAGGGUGGGAUUGGCAAGGGGGGCUAAGUCGUAACAAGGUAGCCCUACGGAAG